AAUCUUCUCCUGAGAAAUUGUUACUCCAAGAUUCCAGAGAAAGUCUAAGCAAGGAAAGAUCAUGACCAUAAGCAGACUUGCCUUUAUAUCUUUCAGCACCAGUCCUUCCAGCCCCUCCCGGAUGACUCGAUUGAUCAUAUCUGCCAGAUCUGAAGCUUUCUGGAAGGAAAAGGAAACUGUUGUGAUAAGAUUACCCUACCAGAUAGAGGUGUGUUCAUGGACAUUCCCGUGCCUACCGUUACAGCUCUCAGGCAGGAGCAGAAAUGCAUACAGAAAAUGAAGUGACUGCAAGGGAAAUGAACAAGAAGCUGGUUUCAGCAGGCAGAAGACGGUGGAGCAGACCCAACUGUCCCUCAGUUCCUUCACCAUACAGCAUCCAGAUGAUAUAAGACUCUGUUGUAGUGGAAGAGGAGGAGGGCUGGUCAUGGAAUCCAGGUGGACUACACACUCACCAAGAGGCAGAUGCCAAGAUGGAGCCCAUCCCACGAGCCACAAACCGGAUUCGGCCUCCUGAAGUACACUACAACCAGUUCAUCCAAAUAAAACAAAUUCCAAGUCCCCUGAUUUAACUAAUUUGAAAUUUGUUUUACUAUGCAACAGGUGAACUUGAGGGGACACAAUCCAAUUUCCAGUUGCCUAUGGAUAAACUAGGUUCUACUGUAAUAAUGUAAUUACUCUGUGUACCCAGUGAGCAUCUGUUUGUCUUGAUGUUAGAGACAAGAGGAUCAAUACCCUAGCAAUAACGUAAUUAACUAAACCCAGGCCUCUUUACUGCUCACAAGGUGAUCAUUCCCCUCUAUUCGACAUUGGUGAGGCCUCAUCUGGAGUACCGUGUCC